GUGUCAGCAGCCGCGGUAAUACGAAGGGGGCUAGCGUUGUUCGGAAUCACUGGGCGUAAAGGGCGCGUAGGCGGCUAGAUAAGUCGGGGGUGAAAGCCUGUGGCUCAACCACAGAAUUGCCUUCGAUACUGUCUGGCUUGAGACCGGAAGAGGUUAGUGGAACUGCGAGUGUAGAGGUGAAAUUCGUAGAUAUUCGCAAGAACACCAGUGGCGAAGGCGGCUGACUGGUCCGGUUCUGACGCUGAGGCGCGAAAGCGUGGGGAGCAAACAGGAUUAGAUACCCCGGUAGUCC
rnacentral:rRNA from 1 species